ACAGUGGUUACCACCUUCGCUUCGCAUUCUGAGGGCCCCGGGUUCAAGUCCCGCCACCGCCAAUUUCCCUCCCUCCCUUUCCCUCCAAUUCAUCAUUCAAGAUACGCAAGAUUCUACUCAUUCAAGAAAGAAAAGAAGAAGAAAGAAUAAAAGAAGAAAGAAAAAAAGAAGAAAGAAUAAAAGAAGAAAGAAUAAAAGAAGAAAGAAUAAAAGAAGUGAGAAAAAAAGAAGAAAGAAUAAAAGAAGAGAGAAAAGAAGAGCCAUGCCUACUAUAACGGGGCUAAAUGGUACACCAAAAAAGCCUUGCCAGGCUAAAAAUGGCAAAAAAAAGCCUUGCCAGGCUAAAAAUGGCAAAAAAAGCCUUGCCAGGCUAAAAAUCGAUCUGUAGUACUGUUCACUACACGUUAAGGAUCGACCCACAAACUGAAGGGUGGAGAAGAGGGGAACAUUGAACGUAGGCUGUUCGUUAGCCUCCCCACGGCCUGAAAGACGGCUCGUGGAUGCAGACGCUUAUGAUCGGGAUAUGUGACCCAAUUCGAUACCUGAAAAUUAGCGCCACUUGGCGGCCGAAGAAAAUCUACCUAUCCCCCGGCGCUUCUGUGUUCAUCCAGGCUGCUACUCUUCAAACAUGGAGUCUUGCUGUCGCCUCUAAGAACCCCAUAGUACUACUUUUUCCAGAAACGUCUUCAGCGAGCUCGAUUUGUUCAUAGUUCUGUUUUUGGAAUCAACGGCGAUAUGGAACAACAAAUAUACACAACAGUAUGUGGACAACAAGAAAGCUUCUGUUUGAAGAAAAAACUACAUCAGUAACCAGUUGCAGGUUCUCAUUCAUGAUUUACAUAGAAAACCGAUAAGAGUUUUUGGACUACCGUACUGCUUUUCGCAUGUUUGACGUUUAUCCGUCGAUAUCCAUGUUGCCAUGGCUAAAACAACAAAAAGGUUGGAAUCUAGAUACUACGUGCUUUCACUUUACGCUAUGUACUUCGAGGACUUUGCGUUUAGCUGUGAAAACCUUAUUCUUCUAUAAGCAAG